AAGCAUAGGAUGUCUGCUACCUUGAUUAUACUCCAAAUGCCACCCGAAUCAGUUAUCCAUAUGGUCUACUCAUACUUGGAUCUUCACUAAAAAUGCACAUAAUGGGUGAGUACGGAAUGCUUAAACUCAGUUGGUAUCAUAGACCAACAGUGUAACGUAGAAUAUAAAACAUAUAAAUACAAACUAUAGGCACGGCACAUGCAAC
rnacentral:lncRNA from 1 species